ACGUAGGUGGCAAGCGUUAUCCGGAAUUAUUGGGCGUAAAGCGCGCGUAGGCGGUUUUUUAAGUCUGAUGUGAAAGCCCACGGCUCAACCGUGGAGGGUCAUUGGAAACUGGAAAACUUGAGUGCAGAAGAGGAAAGUGGAAUUCCAUGUGUAGCGGUGAAAUGCGCAGAGAUAUGGAGGAACACCAGUGGCGAAGGCGACUUUCUGGUCUGUAACUGACGCUGAUGUGCGGAAGCGUGGGGAUCAA
rnacentral:rRNA from 1 species